rnacentral:tRNA from 1 species
UGGGAUGUAGCCAAGCGGUAAGGCUUCGGAUUCUGAAUCCGACAUGCGGUGGUUCGAACCCACCCAUCCCAGCCA